UGAGGAAUAUUGGUCAAUGGACGCAAGUCUGAACCAGCCAAGUCGCGUGCAGGAUGACGGCCCUCUGGGUUGUAAACUGCUUUUAUAUGGGGAUAAAGUGGGGAACGUGUUCCCUUUUGCAGGUACCAUAUGAAUAAGGACCGGCUAAUUCCGUGCCAGCAGCCGCGGUAAUACGGAAGGUUCGGGCGUUAUCCGGAUUUAUUGGGUUUAAAGGGAGCGUAGGCCGUUUGGUAAGCGUGUUGUGAAAUGUAGGAGCUCAACUUCUAGAUUGCAGCGCGAACUGUCAGACUUGAGUGCGCACAACGUAGGCGGAUUUCAUGGUGUAGCGGUGAAAUGCUUAGAUAUCAUGAAGAACUCCGAUUGCGAAGGCAGCUUACGGGAGCGCAACUGACGCUGAAGCUCGAAGGUGCGGGUAUCGAACAGG
rnacentral:rRNA from 1 species